UGGGGAAUAUUGGACAAUGGGCGAAAGCCUGAUCCAGCCAUGCCGCGUGUGUGAAGAAGGUCUUCGGAUUGUAAAGCACUUUAAGUUGGGAGGAAGGGCAUUAACCUAAUACGUUAGUGUUUUGACGUUACCGACAGAAUAAGCACCGGCUAACUCUGUGCCAGCAGCCGCGGUAAUACAGAGGGUGCAAGCGUUAAUCGGAAUUACUGGGCGUAAAGCGCGCGUAGGUGGGUUGUUAAGUUGGAUGUGAAAGCCCCGGGCUCAACCUGGGAACUGCAUCCAAAACUGGCAAGCUAGAGUACGGUAGAGGGUGGUGGAAUUUCCUGUGUAGCGGUGAAAUGCGUAGAUAUAGGAAGGAACACCAGUGGCGAAGGCGACCACCUGGACUGAUACUGACACUGAGGUGCGAAAGCGUGGGGAGCAAACA
rnacentral:rRNA from 1 species